rnacentral:rRNA from 1 species
UGCAAGUCGCACGGGGUGGUUUCGGCCAUCAGUGGCGGACGGGUGAGUAACGCCUAUGAACGUGUCCAGAGGUGGGGGACAACCCCGGGAAACUGGGGCUAAUACCGCAUGGGGGCUGAGGCCCAAAGCCGAGAGGCGCCAUUGGAGCGGCCUGCGUCCGAUUAGGUAGUUGGUGGGGUAAAGGCCUACCAAGCCUGCGAUCGGUAGCUGGUCUGAGAGGACGACCAGCCACACUGGGACUGAGACACGGCCCAGACUCCUACGGGAGGCAGCAGUGGGGAAUAUUGGACAAUGGGCGAAAGCCUGAUCCAGCAAUGCCGCGUGGGUGAAGAAGGUCUUCGGAUCGUAAAGCCCUUUCGACGGGGACGAUGAUGACGGUACCCGUAGAAGAAGCUCCGGCUAACUUCUUGCCAGCAGCCGCGGUAAUACGAAGGGGGCUAGCGUUGCUCGGAAUUACUGGGCGUAAAGGGCACGUAGGCGGCGGCCCAAGUCAGGCGUGAAAUUCCUGGGCUCAACCUGGGGACUGCGCUUGAUACUGGGUUGCUUGAGGAUGGAAGAAGCUCCUGGAAUUCCCAGUGUAGAGGUGAAAUUCGUAGAUAUUGGGAAGAACACCUGUGGCGAAAGCGGCGAGCUGGUCCAUUACUGACGCUG